UACGUAGGUGGCAAGCGUUGUCCGGAUUUAUUGGGUUUAAAGGGUGCGUAGGCGGUCUAAUAAGUCAGUGCUGAAAUAUCUCGGCUUAACCGGGAGGGUGGCAUUGAUACUGUUGGACUUGAGUAGAGUUGAGGUUGGCGGAAUUGACGGUGUAGCGGUGAAAUGCUUAGAUAUCGUCAAGAACACCGAUAGUGAAGACAGCUAACUAAGCUCAAACUGACGCUGAGGCACGAAAGUGUGGGGAUCAAACAGG
rnacentral:rRNA from 1 species